rnacentral:rRNA from 1 species
CCUACGGGUGGCAGCAGUGGGGAAUAUUGGACAAUGGGGCAACCCUGAUCCAGCCAUGCCGCGUGUGUGAAGAAGGCCCUCGGGUUGUAAAGCACUUUCAGUGAGGAAGAACGCCUGGUGGUUAAUACCCAUCAGGAAAGACAUCACUCACAGAAGAAGCACCGGCUAACUCCGUGCCAGCAGCCGCGGUAAUACGGAGGGUGCGAGCGUUAAUCGGAAUUACUGGGCGUAAAGCGCGCGUAGGUGGCUUGAUAAGCCGGUUGUGAAAGCCCCGGGCUCAACCUGGGAACGGCAUCCGGAACUGUCAAGCUAGAGUGCAGGAGAGGAAGGUAGAAUUCCCGGUGUAGCGGUGAAAUGCGUAGAGAUCGGGAGGAAUACCAGUGGCGAAGGCGGCCUUCUGGACUGACACUGACACUGAGGUGCGAAAGCGUGGGUAGCAAACAGGAUUAGAUACCCUGGUAGUC